rnacentral:lncRNA from 1 species
CAUGUCAUCACUUCAUUUUUUUGCGCCUGCGCAUAAAUCUGAGAAACGUGAGUUUGUCAUAAUUUUUUAUCUAGACAUAGGAUAGGUUGUGUGAAAAUAUUACUGAUGUUUAACGUUAAAAAUGGACCAAAAGAUUAAUGCUAAACAACAUUUGACAUGUUUGAACGAACAUAAAUAGAUUAUUUACUAGGUUUUUUUAUCUUUUCGGCGUGAUUUUACCAGCCCCCACCACGUUUUGUGGGAGCAUAAUGAACGCUAAGUACUUGGUGUUAUUUGGACAUAAAUUAUGAACUUUGUCAAAAGAAACCACAUUUGUUCCGGACCUGGAAUGCCUUCCGGACCUGGGAUCCUGCCCUCUGAUGGAGAUAAUCAAAGGUGUCGCCCAUCUGCCAGUUCGUCUUGUUUGUUUAAGUCAACCAGCGUUUUGUCUCAGCUCCUGCUUUUCCCCAGUUUCUCUUUUUGUCGUCCUCCUGGUUUUGACCUCUGCCUGACCUGACCCUGGGCCUGCCUGCCGUCCUG